rnacentral:rRNA from 1 species
GAGCUGCAGAGAGGCAAAGUGGAAUUCCAUGUGUAGCGGUGAAAUGCGUAGAGAUAUGGAGGAACACCAGUGGCGAAGGCGACUUUCUGGUCUGUAACUGACACUGAGGCGCGAAAGCGUGGGGAGCAAACAGGAUUAGAUACCCUGGUAGUCCACGCCGUAAACGAUGAGUGCUAAGUGUUAGAGGGUUUCCGCCCUUUAGUGCUGAA